rnacentral:rRNA from 1 species
ACGAAAAGACCCCAUGGAGCUUCAAACCCAACUACACCCUUAACUACCACAACCGCACAACCUCUUAGGGCCCUGUAUAGUUGGUUUUAGGUUGGGGCGACCACGGAGUACAACCAAACCUCCGCAAUGGACGGGACCACUCCCUUAUCUAAGAGCCACACCUCUAAGAAUUAAAACACUAACAUAAAAUGAUCCAUGAUCUGAUCAAUGAACCAAGUUACCCUGGGGAUAACAGCGCAAUCCAUUUCAAGAGCCCUUAUCG